GCGUAACGCGUAUGCAACCUACCUUUCACAGGGGGGUAGCCCGAAGAAAUUUGGAUUAAUACCCCAUAAUAUUGUUGGAUGGCAUCAUCUGGCAAUUAAAGCUACGACGGUGUAAGAUGGGCAUGCGUCCUAUUAGCUAGUUGGAGUGGUAACGGCACCCCAAGGCUACGAUAGGUAGGGGUCCUGAGAGGGAGAUCCCCCACACUGGUACUGAGGCAGGGACCAGACUCCUACGGGAGGCAGCAGUGAGGAAUAUUGGUCAAUGGUCGGAAGACUGAACCAGCCAUGCCGCGUGCAGGAAGAAUGCCUUAUGGGUUGUAAACUGCUUUUAUAUGGGAAGAAUAAGGUGUACGUGUACAUUGAUGACGGUACCAUAUGAAUAAGCAUCGGCUAACUCCGUGCCAGCAGCCGCGGUAAUACGGAGGAUGCGAGCGUUAUUCGGAAUCAUUGGGUUUAAAGGGUCUGUAGGCGGGCUAUUAAGUCAGGGGUGAAAGGUUUCAGCUUAACUGAGAAAUUGCCUUUGAUACUGGUAGUCUUGAAUAUCUGUGAAGUUCUUGGAAUGUGUAGUGUAGCGGUGAAAUGCUUAGAUAUUACCAGAACACCGAUUGCCAAGGCAGGGGACUAACAGACGAUUGACGCUGAGAGACGAAAGCGUGGGGA
rnacentral:rRNA from 1 species